rnacentral:rRNA from 1 species
GACGAACGCUGGCGGCGUGCUUAACACAUGCAAGUCGAACGGUAAGGCCCUUCGGGGUACACGAGUGGCGAACGGGUGAGUAACACGUGGGUGAUCUGCCCUGCACUUCGGGAUAAGCCUGGGAAACUGGGUCUAAUAACGGAUAGGACUCCUGGCUUCAUGGUUGGGGGUGGAAAGCUUUUGCGGUGGGGGAUGGGCCCGGGGCCUAUCAGCUUGUUGGUGGGGGAAUGGCUUACCAAGGCGGCGACGGGUAGCCGGCCUGAGAGGGUGACCGGUCGCGAUGGGACUGAGAGACGGGCUAGACUCCUACGGGAGGCAGCAGUGGGGAAUAUUGCACAAUGGGCGCAAGCCUGAUGCAGCGACGCCGCGUGAGGGAUGACGGCCUUCGGGUUGUAAACCUCUUUCAGCUAUGGCGAAGCGCAAGUGACGGUAGUAGCAGAAGAAGGACCGGCCAACUACGUGCCAGCAGCCGCAGUAA